rnacentral:rRNA from 1 species
UACGUAGGGGGCAAGCGUUGUCCGGAUUUAUUGGGCGUAAAGAGCUCGUAGGCGGUCUGUCGCGUCGCUGUGAAAACCCGGGGCUCAACCCCGGGCCUGCAGUCGAUACGGGCAGACUAGAGUGCGGUAGGGGAGACUGGAAUUCCUGGUGUAGCGGUGAAAUGCGCAGAUAUCAGGAGGAACACCGGUGGCGAAGGCGGGUCUCUGGGCCGUAACUGACGCUGAGGAGCGAAAGCGUGGGGAGCGAACAGG